AUUGAACGCUGGCGGCAUGCCUUACACAUGCAAGUCGAACGGCAGCAUGAUCUAGCUUGCUAGAUUGAUGGCGAGUGGCGAACGGGUGAGUAAUACAUCGGAACGUGCCCUGUAGUGGGGGAUAACUAGUCGAAAGAUUAGCUAAUACCGCAUACGACCUGAGGGUGAAAGUGGGGGACGGCAAGCCCCCUUGCAUUAGAGCCGGCGAUGUCUGAUUAGCUAGUUGGUGAGGUAAAGGCUCACCAAGGCGACGAUCAGUAGCUGGUCUGAGAGGACGAUCAGCCACACUGGGACUGAGACACGGCCCAGACUCCUACGGGAGGCAGCAGUGGGGAAUUUUGGACAAUGGGCGAAAGCCUGAUCCAGCAAUGCCGCGUGUGUGAAGAAGGCCUUCGGGUUGUAAAGCACUUUUGUCCGGAAAGAAAUGGCUCUGGUUAAUACCUGGGGUCGAUGACGGCACCGGAAGAAUAAGGACCGGCUAACUACGUG
rnacentral:rRNA from 1 species